GACGAACGCUGGCGGCGUGCUUAACACAUGCAAGUCGAACGGAAAGGCCCUGCUUUUGUGGGGUGCUCGAGUGGCGAACGGGUGAGUAACACGUGAGUAACCUGCCCUUGACUUUGGGAUAACUUCAGGAAACUGGGGCUAAUACCGGAUAGGAGCUCCUGCUGCAUGGUGGGGGUUGGAAAGUUUCGGCGGUUGGGGAUGGACUCGCGGCUUAUCAGCUUGUUGGUGGGGUAGUGGCUUACCAAGGCUUUGACGGGUAGCCGGCCUGAGAGGGUGACCGGCCACAUGGGGACUGAGAUACGGCCCAGACUCCUACGGGAGGCAGCAGUGGGGAAUAUUGCACAAUGGGCGGACGCCUGAUGCAGCAACGCCGCGUGCGGGAUGACGGCCUUCGGGUUGUAAACCGCUUUCGCCUGUGACGAAGCGUGAGUGACGGUAAUGGGUAAAGAAGCACCGGCUAACUACGUG
rnacentral:rRNA from 1 species